AGUGGUGCAAGUGCAGUGGUGUUUACAACUAAUUGAUCACAACCAGUUGCAGAUUCCUUUGUUCCUUCUCCACUCCCACUGCUUCACUUUACCUGCCUUAA
rnacentral:Y_RNA from 1 species